ensembl:lncRNA
UUUUAUUCUCAUUAGCAUUAUUGUAGUUAUUAAAAUGUUAAUCCUUGAGGGAUAUACAUAUUUCUUAAAGUGGAGUGAGUAUGGGGUAGUUGAAAGAGGGUGUUAGAAGUCAGACAGGCCUCGGCUUAGAUCUUGGAUCACCUAAUUCAGAUCUAAACCUAAGUUUGUUCAACUGUACAAAAGAGGCUAAUACCCACCUUGUGAAAUUUUUGUAAAGUUUAAAUGAAGAAUAUAAAGAAAAUGCGUAGCACAAUAACUGACCCAUGAGAGAUGCUCAGCUUAGGUGACUUUGCAUGAAGAAUUGCCACUGUCUACAAGAGCAUUAGCAUUUUUAUAGGGAUCAGAAUUAUAAACUCCAGGAAGAUCAUAGGGGAAAGAUAUGAUCCUGGUGGUAGAGCAGCCAUUACAACAUUUUUCCCUCGCCGCUCAAGCUUAAACUUCUGACUUGUUCUCAUCUUUUAGAUCUCAGUUUGGCUGUCACUUCCUCCAGGAAGUCUUCAGUGCUAGGCUUCCAUGGAGCUCUGUCCUCCUCCUGUCGUAGGAAGACACAGUAUCAUGGGUGAUAUGUUCACUUGUCUAAAACGCCUGCUUGAUAAUAAGGUCCUUGAGACAAGAAAAUGUGCCUCCUUUGUAAUCUGUGUGGCUACAGCAAUAUUUCUAUCCCACAUGCUUUUGCAGAACCUUGUCCCUCCCUUAUCAAGUAGUGGAGUUUUUGUCGCCUCCUCCCCUUAAACCUGGGUAGGCCUUUGUGACACCUAAACUUAUAGAGUAGAAUGGAGAAUAAUUCUAUGAUUCUGAAGUUAGGUCAUAAAGGAUGGAACAGCUUCCACCUGACUUUUUCUCUUAAAAUAAUCUCCCUUGAAACACAGCCACCAUGGUGGGAGGAAGACUAAGCCAUAAGGAGAGGCACACAAGGAGGGGAAUUGAGGUCCCAGCCACAACCAAGCUCCCUGCCAACAGCCAGCAUCAACUUUCUAGUCACACAAGUGAGCCAUCUUGGAAGCAAAUACUCCAGUCCUGAAUCAAGACACCUCAGCUAAUGGUGCGUGGAAGAGAUGUGCCUCUUCCACUGAUGCCAGUCCAAAUUGCAGAUUCAUGAACAACAAUGUUGACUAAAAUAGCUACAGAAGCUGACAUUCAGACAUCAUACAACAAAACGGGCAGGAAAUAGUCCCCUUGCUUGCAGAAUACCUGGACGUCGUAGGAACAUAAGCUGGCUGGCAGAAAGACAAGGCAGGCAGCUUUGAUUUAUCCCAGGAAGUUAGAAAACCUCUCUUCAAUGAAGGAGGUGAAAGCCAUAAUGAUUCUUCAUAAUGAACCCUGAUGACGAGGAGCAAGCAAUGAGCCACUUUUUAUGGCAGUUAAUGAUUCGAGCAGAAUGAAAGAAGAAGACUGCACUGGUCACUUGCUCCUCUGAUUCAAACAUAAAAACACAACACAGUGAAAAAGCAUAUUGUUUCCCUGAACUUCAGAGGAAAAACUGAAAACGUUUUUCAAAGUAAAUGAAUUAAUCUCCGUUCCAAACCCAGUAACUAGUCUUAUUCUUUUGUUUUUGUCCUGAUCUGCCUUCCUUACAUAGAAGUUAUGUAGCACACGUUGUUUUCUUUUUAUAUCGGUUACAUUUUUACAGUAAUCACACAGUAUCUACACAAAAGAGAUUGGGUUGAUAUCUAUACAUAGAAAACUAAUGGGACCCUGUGAACCUGGAUACUGACACCCUCACUUUGUCAUCAAUGUAGAACAAUGCAUAAUAAAUGUUAUCAUCAUAUCUGUGCAAUACACAUAGAUUAAUCAUGACAAAAAAAUGUUAGGAUCCCCCUUAGUGUGUUAUUAUUUGUAAUUGUCCAUAACAAUAGUUACAACAAACUUU